rnacentral:lncRNA from 1 species
AGUUAUCACCUUCUCUCCCCUUUUUCACCGGCCAAAAACCCUCCUUCUGGGUGGGCAGAAACCAAUUCCUCCUACCUUUUCGCCAGAAAGCCAACUCACGCUUUCCACUCAGUCUGAGUCACAUGAUCUAACUCAGUCUUAGCCAGAAACCCCUCCUGCCUUUUCCUAGGCAUAAACCAAUGCUUUCCUCCUUUUUGCCAGAAACCCCUCUUUCAGCCUGAAACCAAUGUAGGAUGGGAUAGUCACACUAAAAAAGCAGUGAAAGCGUAGAACUAGAACGAAAUAGGCAAACAAUCAAGUCAGCCAACGGGUGAAUCCCUUUCCUUACACAAGAAACUACCAUUGAGAAAAAGACAGUAAUUUGGUUUCAGUUAGUCGGUGUAAUUCGGUUUCAGUUGAAAAAACAGUUAGUCGGAUAAGAUUUAGAAGUAGACAAAAGAAUACUACUCUAGUAUAAAGCCAGUUCCUUUCCUGAUUUGGUGCAGCAGUGAUCAACUCUUCGAUCGAAGGUUCAUCCGUGGUUCGAUUGAGCUGAUUUU